rnacentral:misc_RNA from 1 species
UCCGGUUUGUCACCGGCAGUCCCAUUAGAGUGCUCAACUGAAUGUAGCAACUAAUGGCAAGGGUUGCGCUCGUUGCGGGACUUAACCCAACAUCUCACGACACGAGCUGACGACAGCCAUGCAGCACCUGUGUGAUGGUUCCCUUUCGGGCACUCCCAAAUCUCUCCGGGAUUCCAUCCAUGUCAAGGGUAGGUAAGGUUUUUCGCGUUGCAUCGAAUUAAUCCACAUCAUCCACCGCUUGUGCGGGUCCCCGUCAAUUCCUUUGAGUUUUAAUCUUGCGACCGUACUCCCCAGGCGGUCUACUUCACGCGUUAGCUGCGUUACCAAGUCAAUUAAGACCCGACAACUAGUAGACAUCGUUUAGGGCGUGGACUAC